GACCACCUCCCUGACCUUCUCCCCACGCCGGCAACAUACCUGGACGGAAGGAAAUGCUGCUUCUGACGCCAUCCGGCUUCCUCUCCGCCCCGGCCCCGGCCCCGCCAGGGCGAAUACCCUAGCUACCUUUGUAUGGUGGUACAGACCAAUGCGGCACCGAUGGCGAGGAACCGCAGCUCCAAGUUCAGGACUACGCCGGAGACAAGAACGACUCGUAGUAAGGUUCAGAUCAUACCGGGGUUGAAUAGCACCAAGCUGAUCGUACCAGGAGGCGGGUGUUGGAGGGUGGACCAGGACUUCACUUGUGCUUUCAGAAUUUCUUGUGGCCACUUUCCCUUACUAUUGCAGCGUGCCUUGGAGGUGCACAAUAGGUGGGUUCAGGAUGACUUCCUUCACUAGGACGCACCUGGGGACAAGAAGGACCCCAGUGCCUCAUGCCUGCCUUUUACCUUGUAAACAGCACACAAGAUUUUCUUGCUGCCACUUAUCCUGAAUGUGGAUGGUGCCUUGGAGCUGGAAAAUGAGUGGCUGGGCUGCUGCUACUGCUGCUUAAGCUCUCAUACGACGGACUUAGACUGCUGACCGCCGGCACAUGGUGAAAGUUCAUGAUUGGGUCCAGUUGUCUGGUAGACCCCAAUGUCGGCGGCAGCAUUGAUGGCGCCAUGCAUGAAGGCUCAGUAGGGUGCCUGGGUACAUGAUGGUGACUUCCUCCUCCACUAGAACGCAUGCCGCCGCCUGGGAUAAGAACGAACCACUAGUGAGAAGUCCUGAGCAUGGAGGGGCUAUAGCUGGGCGAAGGGAGCAACGUCGCUUUCUUGAGGCUGGAUUUGGUUGAGUGUGACCUGAAGAAUAAGGGCAAGUCUGGCAUUGUGGCGGCCAAGUGCUUACCUGCGCUUAAACACAAUGAUGAGAUUACAGGAGCACCACCAAGGGAGUAGUCUUGAGUGUGGAGCAGCUGGAGCUGGGCGAAGGGAUCCUCAUUGCUGGUUCGUGGCUGCUGUUGGUUGAAUACGACCUGGAGGAGUAGGGCUAGUUGGGCAUUGUGGCAGCCAAGUACUCAUGGCUGCUUAGGUAAAUGAAGCACCAUAGAACACACCACCGGUCUCCUGCGCUGACGACGUUGUCGUUAAUGGGCGUUGGAUUCAGACAAUGCAUGUCCACGCAGCUUGGAGCUGCUGCCGGCGUCUUCCACCGGGGGAUCCGGCAUUGCUGUUGGGCUGGCUGUGGCCCACCACGCUUCGUGUGCGGUGGUAGGCUUGGCUGGCUCUGGGCUUCACUAAGCUCGUCAUUGUGUUGCUACUACGGUGGCGGUGUUGUCUUGGCCUUGGGUACACCCCUCUCCGGGAAUAGUCCUGAGGAUGGAGCGGCCGUCGCUAGCAAAUAGUGCAGUGCCGCUGUCUUGAGGCUGGACUUGCUAGAGUGUGACCUGGAGAAUCAGGGCGAGUCAGGCAUUGUGGUGGGCUGGUGGCCAAGUGCGCUUAAAUACUAUGCUGAGCUUACGACAUCACCACCAAGGGAGUAGUCCCAAGCAUGGAGCAACCGCAGAUGGGCCAAGGGAGCAACGUUGCUGGUUCUAGGCUGUUGUUGGUUGAGAGCGUCCUGGCCCCUGGGGAAGAAGUGCAGAAGUCUGAUAGGCUUCAAGAGAUAGGGAAAACUGCUUUAAGAAAGACUUACUCAGUGAAUCGGUGGAUCACACACUUGGAGACAGGGACAAAUUUCCGAACUAAGCAUAGGCAGGCCACGAAGGGUGGUCAAUAAUCCAUUUAGGUGACUCAUCGAACCCCAAUUGGACCGCUCGCAUCGCUCCUUGACACGAAGGCUUGCUUCCCUCUUGGAGCCAUACCAUAGGUAGGACUUGAUGAUCUCGCAGGUGCAGGGGUCCUUCACUCCACAUAGGUCAAGAUGCGAAAAAGAAUUAUCUUAGCAAUGCGAGAAGGUGUCAAGCUUGAUGGGUCAGUUUUCAGUUGUCCAAAACCCGAAAGGAAUAGAUAAUAAAAUUGCAGAGCUCCCCUUUCUUGUUCUUGGUGGCGUCUAUAG